rnacentral:rRNA from 1 species
UUUUAUGGAGAGUUUGAUCCUGGCUCAGGAUGAACGCUGGCGGCGUGCCUAAUACAUGCAAGUCGAGCGAACAGAUGAGGAGCUUGCUCCUUUGAUGUUAGCGGCGGACGGGUGAGUAACACGUGGGUAACCUACCUAUAAGACUGGGAUAACUUCGGGAAACCGGAGCUAAUACCGGAUAAUAUUUCGAACCGCAUGGUUCGAUAGUGAAAGAUGGCUCUGCUAUCACUUAUAGAUGGACCUGCGCCGUAUU